rnacentral:lncRNA from 1 species
ACGGUCUCCUCAUUGCAGAAACCUAGGAAGAAGGAUGUGGGCAAUAAAGAGACAGAUGUUCCAAUCACAAGAGGAGAUAAGAGAAGAUAUACGACCAUCACCUGUGCUACCCACUGCCUGCGUGCUGUUGGUGUGCUGCCCUGUUGCUCUGCUCAGCUGAAUAAAGAAACAGUUAAAGGAUCUCCUCUUUGUCUUAUUGAUUGGCAUACCCUGAGAAAGACAAAGGAAAGAGGGCUCAGCUGGUGGGACCCAACAUUUCUGCCAGGGUUCACCUACGAAACACCUCAGACACCCACUGAACAGAUCUACAAACACCAGGAGGUUGCAUUUUGCUCCUUGUUUCAGCAUCUCAGUGAAAUCUCCUUGUUACUGCGGAUAUUGUGCACUACAAAUGGGUCCAGUGGGCACGCUCUGUCCCCUUUUGGAUUAUUUCUAAGGCAGAUGGGACAUGUGAGCCUGACAUUUUUGCACGUCUAUCUCAUGCCAUUGUUUACAUACCACUGUGAGACCCGAGGCGAGGGAGUUGAAGCCCUCGCCAGAGUGUCGUCCUCCCUUAAGAAAGAACAGGAGGUGCAAACAGACUCGCUUACAUCACCCGUCACGACGGUACAAUGGGGAGUGGACACCAGGGAACUAGAACUAGGGAUGGCUAAAGUAAGCAUAGCCACUCAGACUGGAGAGGAAACAGCGGGGAAAGAAGAAAGGGGCAGAGCCACCAUGGAGGCACGAACUGGGGAUGUAAAAGGGACAAGGGACGAUAUACCCGGGAGUUGGAAGUUAAUAUGGGUGGAAGAUCCCUGGACCGGGAAGUGCGAGUUCCCAGGGAGGAGGUUCCCAGGUCCGGGUUCCCAGGGAGGAGGCAGACUAUAGAAGAAGUCUGCCCCCUCGACCCUCAUAUUGGGGGGAAUCAGAGGCGUGUGAAUGGCACUGGAGAUUGAGAGAGGAGAAGGAAGCGGUGGAGAGAGAAGAAAGAGAGAAGAGUAUGGAGGCUGGAGGAAGCCUGGCGGAGAGGGUUCUGGCCGGACCGUGGGCUCCCUUACAAAGAGAUGAGGACCCCCUUCGACCCCGAGGGGAGAGAUGAGGAGACCAUACCACUAAUAGACCCAGGAAUGGACUCUUUGGAAUUGGAUGACAAUAAUCCCUUUACCAAGGGUCCCUGGAAUGACUCUGAGUUUAAUCCAUUUAACAAGGACGUUUGGAUGCCCUCGUGGGCCCCGCUGGUCACGAGAGACAAUGGAGUAGAGUUAGAAACCAAAAACCUGUUGUUCAAUGUUCCAAUAAAACCCAGUUUUGACUUUGCA